CGGGGGGGGCAAGCGUUGUUCGGAAUUACUGGGCGUAAAGGGCGCGUAGGCGGUUCGCUAAGUUGGAUGUGAAAACUCUGGGCUCAACCCAGAGCCUGCAUCCAAAACUGGCGGGCUAGAGUUCUGGAGGGGGUAGCGGAAUUCCUGGUGUAGCGGUGAAAUGCGUAGAUAUCAGGAGGAACACCGGUGGCGAAGGCGGCUACCUGGACAGAAACUGACGCUGAGGCGCGAAAGCUAGGGGAGCAAACAGGAUUAGAUACCCUGGUAGUCCUAGCCCUAAACGAUGGAUACUUGGUGUGACUGGGAUUGAAUCCAGUCGUGCCGAAGCUAACGCAUUAAGUAUCCCGCCUGGGGAGUACGGUCGCAAGGCUG
rnacentral:rRNA from 1 species